AGCUGCGAAGGCAUCUUCAGCAGCUGGAAAGAACUUCGGUCAGGGAUGAGCUCGCGGCCUAUCAGCUAGUUGGUGAGGUAAUGGCUCACCAAGGCGUCGACGGGUAGCCGGCCUGAGAGGGUGACCGGCCACACUGGGACUGAGACACGGCCCAGACUCCUACGGGAGGCAGCAGUGGGGAAUAUUGCACAAUGGGCGCAAGCCUGAUGCAGCAACGCCGCGUGAGGGACGACGGCCUUCGGGUUGUAAACCUCUUUUAGCAGGGAAGAAGCGAAAGUGACGGUACCUGCAGAAAAAGCACCGGCUAACUACGUGCCAGCAGCCGCGGUAAUACGUAGGGUGCAAGCGUUAUCCGGAAUUAUUGGGCGUAAAGAGCUCGUAGGCGGUUUGUCGCGUCUGCUGUGAAAACUGGGGGCUCAACCCCCAGCCUGCAGUGGGUACGGGCAGACUAGAGUGCGGUAGGGGAG
rnacentral:rRNA from 1 species